UCUUGACGUAUCAACUGAAACUGACGCUCUCAUUUCUGCCAAGUCAUUUAUAGUGCUGAUUUUUCGCGCACUUUCUGGGUUCAUGUUUACUUCCUGCCUUUCAAAGCUGUGUGCCAAAUCUUUGGUAGAUAUGUUCUCUCUUCCCUUCUGUUGGAUAUUUUAGAAGCCAUAAAAAUACACAAACUCCAAGAGAACUUCAACACAAAGGAAGAGUGAACAUAUCUACCAAAGAUCUGGCACACAGCAUUGAAAGGCGCCACAUGUGUUGAUGUACCUUCAAAUCGGGACUAAAACUAAUUCGAAGAGCGAUUCAAUGACUGAAUCGAGAACCCAAUUCGAGGACCAAUUCUAGAUCUCGAGGUACAAACCGAUGACAUCAGAUUAUCACUAUCAUUAUUUCACAAUUACUUCCAAUAUCUCACGUUGGUGUCGAGUCUAAGGACAUAGCCUAUCACGCCGAUGACCAGCGAUCAAUUCUCCGAUCUUGCGCGACGUGACUGGGUGGUCUGUCUCGUUGAGGGAUACGCCUGGUCAUCUGUUUGAAUUCUUUAUGUCCACAGAAAAUUCAAAUCUCUCGCCACGAUGUUCUGAGAUGCAGAAGCGUGUGCUCUGAUUAGCUGGCAAGCUGCGUGACAAUUUGAGGACGCUGCGUGACAAUUUGGUACACUCCGAUUUGUUCACCGCUGGGUGUCAGGACACCACAUGGCAAUUUGGUGUACUCUGGUUAACUGGGUGAUCUGUCUGCCUUGUAUGGCGAACUGAGAGGCAACCUGGCUGGUGUGAUGAUGUCACAGUCUGCCUGAACUGGGGUAACUCCUACUAGAAGUUACGUCGGUUCAGGCAGAUAGACUAGACAUAGUAUAGACAGACAGACUAGACAUAGUAGGGACGUUUGGUGUGGUAGCAUUUGAGUAUAAUCUCGUCGCUAGCGAGGGAUAUUGAAAGUGAACGUGAAUAGUUGGUAGAUGUGGGUAUUGCGAGUUCGGUUGGUUGCGUCGUUGUUGAUAACGAGAGUCGACCGCAUUCAACAUGAUAAGUUGGAAGAUAUGCGACGCUAUCGCUCGAAAAGUCGAGCUUGGAAUGAGAACAAUAUGGGUAUACAGGGUGUGUCAAGAAAGCGGUUAUUGUUUUUACGACGGCUUUGAACACGGUAAUAUUGGUCUUGAUUUAACGAGAUUCUAUUGUUUUGAGGUGCGAUUCUUCAUAUCAUCCAAAUCACGCGGGAAGUAGGUACGCGAGAACCCGCCAUUACAGAAAAUGCGCGAAAAAUAAGCACCUACAUAAUAUUAUUAAUAAAAAUGAGUAACUUUUGUGAACAAAUCCAUAUCGUUCAAAUUCCUAAAAAUUUGUAGGCGCUCAAAAUUAUACAUGAAAGGGUUGGAGAAGUGAAACACCAGAGUGCAUUUAUAGGUCGCAUUAUGUUGACCUUUCGUAACCAACCUCAAUUUCGAAAUUUAUUCUGCUUUUAUUGCUAGAGUAUAGAAUGCGUUAAACAUUUUUUUAUAUUAUUAUUCAAAAUUUCAAACUCCGUAAUAUGUCAAUUAAAAAAUUAGAUGUGUUUCUUUCAUUAAUCUGAUUAAAACAAUCAAAAAUUAUCUUAAUAUAGCUACUAUCAUUUCAUGAACUUCAGAUAUUGAUACUUGAAUGAUAUUAAAAAACAAUUGGUUUCUGUGAUGUUAGGUUGUGAUGAGGCAUACAAAAGCAAUGAAGUUGAUUUUACGUAAAUUUUAACACUUCUUCAAUAAUCCAUCCCUUAUUCGAAUAGCGAGUAAGUGAUAGAAUAGCUUAACCACUGCGUAGACACCUUGGACUAAACUCCGGGAAAGGAGUGGUUCUAGAUGACUUGGACAAGGUAGUUACUCUCCCUAAGCUCUGUUAGGACCAUCUGGUAGGUAGAAUAGUUAAUAGAGUCAAAGGAGCUUAAUCUGGCUCAACGUCGCCAUUUACAGAAUACAUUUAUAUUCAUGAUGAUACAUGAAAAAUACUACGUUACUACAAAGCAAUGGGACAGCUUAAAAUUAGUUUAUACCCCAUAAAUAGAGUUGCUUUAGUGUUUAGUUCAUGAAAUUUUCUCUGAGCCGGAAAUAUCAGAAAAUAGAUAAGGAUAGUUCGUGUGAGUAGUCAGUCUCCAUUGAGAAAUAGUAGUAAUAGCCCAGUCGAAUUAGGAUCUAACAAUGCAAAAAAAAAUUACUGGCAAUUUUCUUUCGGAAUUCUUUGGUAGGUCACUGGCAGUUAAAAUUUACGUUCCUGUCGAAAUAUAUUGAGUUGAAGAAUAUUACAUAAUACCUAAUAGAAGCUAUUGCUCAAUUUUUGCUAACUCAAAUUGACAAUCUCAUACAUAUCAAAUAUGAUUUUAUUCAUGAAAAAAUAAAAAAAACAGUGUAUGUAUAAAAGAGAAUUUACCUCUAGGUAUUUUGAGUUGGAACUUGCUUCACAAGUACAUAUACUUAUUUUUAAGUAUUUAAACAAUUCACAUUAGCAUAGUAAAUAUAGAAGCGGAUAUUUGAUCCAAAGUUAUACUUAUCUAUCUUCUGCAUAUUCCCUUAGAAAAUUCAAAGUUCACGGAUUUUAGAAAUAAUGCGUUUACAGAAUGAGAAGUUAUAGUGAUUCUGACAAACAUCUCAAUCUGUAUCUAGUUUAUAUAUUUUAUUAUAUUUUAACAUUUGUGUGUAUAGAUUCAUGUUGGCCGUUAUUUACAAAUGAAAAGCAAUAACAUAUCCCUACAAGAUGGAAUCUUAUUACAAACCUUUUUCAACUGAGGUAAUCGCUUAUCGCAUAAAUUAAGUCACAGAAAGCAAUAUUUCUUUCAUCGAGGAUAAUAGAUAUUCCAAAAUACAAACAAAUGGAAAUAUGGAAAUUAUAAUAGUAACUUACAAAAUACCGAAGCGGUACAAAAAUAAUAUCAAAAAGUGAUAUAUUCAACCGUCCCAAUUUUAAAAGGAAAUUCAGUUGAAGAGUUUAUUUUGUUAUGACGAUAUUUUAAAAAUAUAGAUACUAAAACUGGAUGCAUCAAAAAAUUCGAAAUAAUUAUGUUCUCGAUUUCUUCAAACAGAACAUCCAGAUGUGAUUUUAUGUUGAAGAUCGCAAUCACAAUUUCAUUGAAAAAGUCAGAAAAAUAUUUUGAACGAUGAAGUUAUUUCAUUAUCAAAUAGCAAUUCUCUUCUUAUUUGUUCAAAGGAAACGUUCAUGUCAUUUUACAAAUUUCCCGUUGUUGUUUCCCAAAAAACUAACACUGAACCCGAAAUUCGUCAGUAUUACGAAUGCCAAAUAAACCUAGCUGACGGUAUUAGCUUCAAUUCAGAUUCCCUCCUAUCUGGAGAGUUGGUGGUGUUCAAUAUCAGUCUUUAUGUUAUCAAGGAGAAAUUGUCUGUCAUGACAGAAAUCUUUUUUUUUAUUCUUAAUAGGAUUGGUCACUUGAAGAUAUUUUAAUCUGACUUGAAAUCAUAUCAACGAGAAAUUCCUACUCAAGUUUUUAAUUAAAAAUGGUCUGGAACACCAAUGCGUAAAAUUUUCACAAGACGUUUCAAGGCCCCCACCAGAUAACAAAUUUCGAAUACGGACCUGCAUAUUUCUCCUCUCUUUCGUUAGUUAAUUAUCUCGUGUAUAUAGAAUACAGCAUUACGAAGUUCAUUUCAGAAGGCUUCGUCCAUUUUGAUCCCUCUCAAACAUAUGAGGAUGACCAGGAGGCAUUGACCAGUUGAAACAGUCAUUAAUUUUUUUCAGAUUGGCAUUUCUGACGAGUCAGGCUCGGUUUUUGUACUGUUCGUUUUUUGUUUGUUUUGUGAAUUUCCAUUAUCCGCCGAAGUUUCACUAAUUAUCUCAGAUUACGAUUCCGAUGAUGGGGAUUGAAAAAGUUACCAUCUUGUAUAUCUACAGAAAAUGAAUUGCUUCAGAAGUGUGAUGGAGAUACAUGUUAUACCUGUUUCAUAUUUUUUUCAAAUCACUGAGAUCGGUUAAAGAUUUGUAUUCGGGAGUAUUGCAAGUUAGCUUAUGAUAGAUAAGCAUAUUGUGAUAGAAUUCACUGAGAAAUGAAGAAGUCGAUGAUCGCUGGUAGAUCUUCUUUUUCUCUUUGUUUCGUGGUGUCCCCCUCCUAAAGUCGGUGCCAUAUACCAGCUCUCCCCAUCGCUGGUAGUUGAAGUAAUUCAUUUUCAGGUUUUAUUAAAGUAGGUUUUAAAAUAUUAUUAUAUAUCGGCAAUAUAUAUAUUGUUAAUGAUUAGAAGUUUAUAGCUUUUUAUCGGCAUUGUUGACAAGUUUGUUAAAAUUUGAAAGUUAGCAAACUGCAAAAUAUAUUCCAAACAACUACUUAGUUUCGAAGUUUCGAGAAUUGCGAUUUUUUUAGAAUAACCUGAAAAUGUAAACAACACACAUUAUUCAACACUGUACAACUGAAUAAAAUUAUUUCAUUUGACUGUUCUCAUGGAACCUCGUUAAAGUGUUGACAGUUGCAUUGAUAUUUGAAAUAUCUCUUCGCACCAAUAACAAAUUCAGUUUUUUUAAAAUGACCUGGAAAGGUAUUAUUUUUCUACAUGUUACAUUGUGUAGUUUGUCGGGAUUCAAAAAAAAUUAUAGCUGACAAAAAAGCGCACACGAAAAAAAAAACUGUGAAAAGUUGCAAUCUUCAUUCCACUCGAAACUUGUAGUCGAUUUGAAGUUAGAUCAAUUAGUGAGCCCUUCAAACACGCUACACAUAUAUUUAUUAACUGCAAAAAUGAGCGUAGAUAAAUAUGUAUUAUAAUCUUAUUUUUUGUACCAGUUUGAAGUUUGUGUCAUUUAUCUUUCUAAUAAAAAAUAUUUAUCGAA